rnacentral:rRNA from 1 species
UACGUAGGUGGCAAGCGUUGUCCGGAAUUAUUGGGCGUAAAGCGCGCGCAGGCGGUCCUUUAAGUCUGAUGUGAAAGCCCACGGCUCAACCGUGGAGGGUCAUUGGAAACUGGGGGACUUGAGUGCAGAAGAGGAAAGCGGAAUUCCACGUGUAGCGGUGAAAUGCGCAGAGAUCGGGAGGAACACCAAUGGCGAAAGCAGGUACCUGGACUAUUACUGACACUCAGCUGCGAAAGCUAGGGAGCAAACAGGAUUGAG